UCGCUCUUGUUGGAGAGGUCAUCUUCGAUGUAUUGGAAGUUUAAGCCUUUGAGUUUGAGGACUAGUUCGAUUCUCCGGCUGUAGAGACUGGCCCAGGUUCCAAAGUAGCUUGAUUUCGUCUGCCAUUUUUUCUUGAUUUUUAUUAUCAUCUAUGGAGUACUAUGGAAGAAGCAGUAUAUAUCUGAUGUGCAGGAAGGAAUCGAAGUUUAGUGCAUUGGAGCUAAAUGGGGAAAUGUCAUGGCUGACAUCAGAGAUCUUAUGGGACCUCUGAGAUCUGGAUAUUCUACCUUAUCCCUUUGCGAGAUCGAUAAUGCCAAUCACACUAGAAAUUUUCAAAAAGUCGCACAUUUUGCCUUGGUUCUCGUUCAGGCAAAUCGUCGAACACCUUGUCUGCACAACUUAUGAAAUUUAUUCCAGAGACAUAGGUAAAUCACAACUCAGUAAUUUCUUAUUCGCAUAUGAUUAAAGCUGUAGACUAUACGGGGGGAGGUGUGUUCCACAGUAAUGGUGUUCCUAACAAUUUUAUUUUAAGCCGCUUUGGGUUUAGAAGAAGCUUCCUCUGUAGCUGCACGAGCACGACGAGCUCGGACGUAAUCAAGAUGUUUCUCCCUUGGCGGCAGGCAUCCUAAAACGACGUCGUCAUCUCGAACCUUCUC
rnacentral:lncRNA from 1 species